rnacentral:lncRNA from 1 species
GAACAUGCUUAUAUGGAAAUGUGAAAUAAAAUGUCUUUUAUUACAGCACAUUUUUGAAAGUAAAAGAUCACAAGCACCUUUAUGAACUUAUAUUUGUUGUGACAAAGUUCUAGUCCAGUCGAAUACACUUAUAAUGGAUUCGACUAUGCUAAAAUCUUUGUACAGAUUUUGUGAAUCGGUGUUGUGUGAGAUUUUGAGUUGAAAAGAAUUUCAAAAUGUUUUUUCAU